AACAACGGAUUGACCGAAAGUAGGAAUGAAAGCCGUCAAGUUGAGCUGAAACUACUUAUCUGAUACUCCUACAUGCAAGGCGUGAUAGUAGUUAAAAAUAGGUGAAGUCGGCUGAACAAAGCCUAAGUGAUUAAUCAUAUGGUAAUGGAUAAAUUGGGAUGCUACAAA
rfam:Bacillus thuringiensis serovar pondicheriensis BGSC 4BA1 contig00179, whole genome shotgun sequence.